GAAAUGCGAUAAGUAAUGUGAAUUGCAGAAUUCAGUGAAUCAUCGAAUCUUUGAACGCACCUUGCACCCUUUGGUAUUCCAAAGGGUACACCCGUUUGAGUGUCAUUGUAACCUCACCACAUCGACCUUAUUUGUCGGUGUUGUGGACUUGGAUGCUGCCGUGGCUGUCACGGCUCGUCCGAAAUAUCUGAGUACAUCCUGAUUUGUGGUGUGUUCGGUGUGAUAAAUCUUCACCGGAGUUGACCUCCCAGGUCACACCCACUUGACAUGGCCCUGUGCUUCCAACCGUCUCCCAUGUGAGACAACUUUUGACAAUUUGACCUCAAAUCGGGUGGGACUACCCGCUGAACUUAA
rnacentral:misc_RNA from 1 species